ensembl:ncRNA C15H7.8 ncRNA
UGAAGAAACGGUAGAAAUAUGGAGAGAUGGAGAGAUCAUUAAGCGGAGUUGAACGGUAAAGAAAACAGAAAACUCGCGCGCGGGAGGAGAAGGUGGAUGAGGACGGCAAUUUGAAACAGCUACUUUAUACGGAAAUCAGAACACA